rnacentral:lncRNA from 1 species
AGCAGAACGCCAGUGCCUGUAUCAGAGAGCCAUGGUGACUUUGUUUCAUGAUAUGAUUCAUCAUGAAGUUGAAUGCUAUGCUAUGACAUGAUAGCAAAGUCCCAAGACAGAAAAGGGGCAUCUGGUGGAGAUAAUUCAGACUGAGGUUGAAUUCGAGAAAGUGCGCUAUCAGAGUGCGGUCCGGUAAGAUGUUGGGGUUCAUUGUAAGAGAGGAAUCGAGGUUCCUGCUAAAAAAA